rnacentral:lncRNA from 1 species
AUAGCUUUUAGCCACUUACACUUUAACAAAUAUGCUGUUGUUGAAACAAUAAUUUAAGAGAAACUUUCAUGUUUUGGAUGUACUACAAAUAAUAGAGAUGAAUUCUGUAAUACGCUUUGCCAUAGAAGCAAUAUCAUCAAUCUUCAGAAUGAAGAGAGGCACUGUGCCUCUGUGCAGACGCUUUGCUUUCCUUCUGCUCCCACCACUCCAUGUCUCUCAGUAUUCCUUGUCCUCCCCUUUCCUGAUGAGAAACAAAAUCUGCUGAAGCAUAAAAUCAGUUUUUAAGUAUGAGAAUGAAUUUGGUACUGCUGUAGGUAAUUAUGUUCAGAAAGUUGCAUUCAGUGCAAUUUUAGAAAGAUCUAUCAAAGCAUAAUGAGGUUUCUGUUCCUAAAAAUACAUAGCUUUCCAGCCUUUCCUUCGAUGGAUGCUUUGGGAUCACUGGCCACAGACUGUUGCUCGCUGCUAAGAUACCCCUUUCUGCACUCUAAAAGAAGAAAGAAAAUUAAAAGUCGGAGAAUGCCUGUUUUCCGUGCUCUUUAUUAUAGAAUAUUUCCUUAAUGCUCUAUUUUCUCAUACAGCAGCUCUGCCUCUCACCCUGGCAAGGCCUCGGUGCUUACAGGGAAUUAGAUGGCAGUGCUCCCAGGCCUCUAAGCUUCCUUUAUGCCAGCCUUUACUUAUACUUGUGUCUGACUACUCACACCAAUGGGCUGUGCGAGCGAGGAUGAAUUCUUCACCUGCUUAUUGAGCCAGGGCUUUUGGACCACACCUGGAUGCUGACAGACUUGUGGCCUGGCGCUGCUAGGGCUGGCUAUAUCUGAAGAUAAAAAGCCCAUUGCUGCAGGCAACAGGCUGCCAGAUGUAAUACCACUGCUCUCAGCUCUCAGCUUUCCCUGGUAUUGGCACAUCUACUGAUCUGUCCGUGCCACAGAAAUCUGGUCUUGGGAAGGAGAUGAGGGGGAUGGCGAGACUCACUCCCUGACAUUCACACAGCUCUUUGAAACCCUCUGGUUGAACAUGUGACAGACAUAUGAAAUAUUUGUUCUUCAUUUGUAGUGUGAGAUCUACCCUUUUAUAUCUGCAACAAGAAAGUGUCUGUAUGAUAAUGCAUUUUAUAGUCAACAGAAAGGAAAAUUGCUAGCAAAUGUCUCUGUUUCGGAGAGCACGUCUGCCUGACAGGGUCACGUGUACCCUGUAAGUAAAAUGCACACAAGUACGGUUGAGAAUCGCUUUAUGAGCCCCAUCCAAAUCCUCUCCAAGGCAAUGUGAAACUUUCAGUGGGUACCCACAGCAGUGUAUUCAUGUGGCAGAAAUACCCCCCUGGUGAAGGCUGUACUUCUAGUCUGGUGCUGGACCAUCCUUCGUCAUCUCGCCAAGCCGGAUCAGAGACAUUCACAUCUCUCUGGGAUGAAAAGGGUUAUUUCUUGAAUAUUCUGGGAAAAUGUCAAACUCUAACCAGGGGAUGAUGGUCAUCCCAAAACUGUCAGGAAGGGAGUAGGUUUAUCUCUAUAGCCUUACGUUGCCAUCAAAAAUCUCCAAUCCUCCAAUUUAAAAUGUCCACGUUUAAAAUCGCGAGUAGCUCCAUUGCUUUCAGUAAGACUGUGCAUGUGGGUAGGUGGCCACAUGUUUGCAGCAUCGUAAAAAAAGAAGACAAGCACAAUCUCCUCUUUCCGCUCCCUUUUUAUCUCCCUUCAAAAGAGUGUGAAGUCUGACUGCUCCCAGCACAACGCCAAGAUGGGAUGGCUGGGAGCCUCCUCUGGGCUCUGUUAUCUCGUGACUGAUUUAAGCUAGAGAAAUCAAGACCAAGAUCUGGGGCAUGACUGUAAGUGUGUGAACAUGUGAGCAUGGAAGAGAUCACACGGGUUAUUUUUAGUUUCCAGGUAUCCCUUCAUUUUGAGGAUUUUGAUGAAAGAGUUGCACUAAGGGGCUGAACAAAACUAAGCAUUUUAGGAGCUGGCAAAGGAUUCCUGGUAACACUGCCCAAAGGUUGUAUCUGUCCAUGGCAGACGCACAUCCCCACCACAUUUCUUCACAAGGCAGCGGAGGGAGGCUGCUGAACUGGUUCCUGCUUGUUUUCAGCCUGCACUCGUGCGCCUGUGAGGCUGGAAUGCCCUUGUUUGAAUUAGCAAGUCACCAAGUAUGAAUCAAAGUGUAAUUGUCAUUGCUGCCUGUGGUACUAAACAGACCUGAGCUAUUAAUUCAAGACAAAUGGGAGAAAUGAGUAAACAGAAAGUUUACUGGUCUGUGGAAACUACAGGCCUGAGUGGAUGCUCUGUGCUGGUUAUAUUUCAACUUUAUUGCUUUGCUUUGAUCAUUUGAAAUUACCACUGUUUUCAGCUGGAAUUUAGGCAAACUAAAAACAUAUGAUUUCUGAAUUAAUUAUUCUGAUUUUAAAAGGGUAUUCUGUUACAAACUGUACUUCUUCCUCUGCGACUUGUCUUUGCAUUGUUUCUGCUGUACAAACAAUUUGCAUAAUGUAUAUCAUGGAAUAAUUAUAUUUUGCUACAAAAAUGUUACAGAUAAGCCAAAUUCAAAACAUUGUUAGGCAGGAACUCUUUGAUUUCAGUCCUAAAGCAUAUUUGAAGCUUUAGUAUGUCCCACAGGGACUAAUCAUAGGUAAAGCUAUGUGCGUGGUCAAGCCUUCACAGGAUCAUGACCAGCACUUGCAAAGACAUGUGAAAACAGAAAAUGAGAGGGGGAGAGACAACCACAGGACUCCAGAUGUGACCAAAAGGGUUCCUGUAGCAGCCAGGAGCUAGAGGCAUCUUGCAAACUCAUAGCAAUUAUAAUUAGAAAUACUGCGCAGGUCAUUAAUGUAAAUCUUCCUGGAAAACACUGGUGAAAACAGGAAAGGUGAAAAUAAUGCAAUCUGCAAUCUUUCUGCAAUCUGCAGAAAGCAGAAAAGGAGGCAAUCUGGCUCCUCCCUUGCCACUGAAGUUGAAUCCAGCCUGGCCAUGAGAAUUGCCAAGCCAUCAGCCUUUUUGCUGAGGUCACAUAUUAGUACUUUAAAGGCUAAUAGAUUUUGAAAAUAUUUGAAAUUUGGCAUAUUCUUAAUUCCUUAUUGUCCUCUGGCCAAGAAAAAACAAAUGAGAAGAUCUUGAGAUCUCUGCACUACUGUUUGUAUUUUAAUAGAAAAGCAGCGUGAAAUGUUACAGGGCUCUCCAAGCCCAUGCCCUAUCUUGCUUUUAGCUUUCCUGCUGCUUUAACACGCUGCCUUUUGAAACAGCCUGGCCAAAAUCUGGUGAAAAGACCAAGGCUUGUGUACAGACUGGAUCAUUUUGGGCCUUGGCAGCCACAGCAGCCAUAGCGGUGGAGCGAGUGUUUGCUCAAUUUCCCAUUUUAAUGAGCUCUCUGAGUUUCUAAGUCAGAGGGCUGAGGGGAUGUUUUAGAAACAUGUAAACACCAUGCAGUCACUGAUGGAGUUAAUGUAAACUCUAUAGCAUGUUUUAUCAGUUAUCCUCUUGUUUAGUCUGGGAGAGAGGAGAAUGGGGGAACAAUGAGACCUCAAAUACCCAAAAGGUUGCUAUAAAAACAGUGAUGGAUAGCUCUCUCUUUGUUAAUGAUUUAAAUAAGAUGUUGAGAUAGUCUUUCUAACUCCAAUAGGUAGCUAAAAAACUCUGGGACAGAUGACCUACAAGGGAGAUGUUACGCUACCACAUGUGUUUGAAGAAUGGCUUAGCCAAGGUCUGCAGGGAUGCUGCAAAGACCUUGCUUCUUUCUUAGAGCAGGGGUUGAAUUUCCUGAACUUCCCCUUGUAAUCACGUUCAACCAUACAUCCCUAUGGUAUUGUGAUCACUCUCAUAAAGUGACAUUUUAAUGAAAAUAAAUAAACGAAGCUGCAAAACCUUGUGACGCA